rnacentral:rRNA from 1 species
UACGAAGGGGGCUAGCGUUGCUCGGAAUCACUGGGCGUAAAGGGUGCGUAGGCGGGUCUUUAAGUCAGGGGUGAAAUCCUGGAGCUCAACUCCAGAACUGCCUUUGAUACUGAGGAUCUUGAGUACGGGAGAGGUGAGUGGAACUGCGAGUGUAGAGGUGAAAUUCGUAGAUAUUCGCAAGAACACCAGUGGCGAAAGCGGCUCACUGGCCCGUUACUGACGCUGAGGCACGAAAGCGUGGGGAGCAAACAGG